AAUGAACGCUGGCGGCGCGCCUAAUACAUGCAAGUCGAGCGAGAAGACGUAGCAAUACGUUUGUAAAGCGGCGAACGGGUGAGGAAUACAUGGGUAACCUACCCUAGAGUGGGGAAUAACUAGCCGAAAGGUUAGCUAAUACCGCGUACGCUCCUUGGACUUCGGUUCAGGGAGGAAAGCGAUACCGAGGGUAUCGCGCUCUUGGAUGGGCUCAUGUCCUAUCAGCUUGNGGUGAGGUAACGGCUCACCAAGGCUUCGACGGGUAGCUGGUCUGAGAGGACGAUCAGCCACACUGGCACUGCGACACGGGCCAGACUCCUACGGGAGGCAGCAGUAAGGAAUAUUGCGCAAUGGGCGAAAGCCUGACGCAGCGACGCCGCGUGGGGGAGU
rnacentral:rRNA from 1 species